rnacentral:rRNA from 1 species
AGUGAACGCUGGCGGUAGGCUUAACACAUGCAAGUCGAACGGCAGCACAGUAAGAGCUUGCUCUUACGGGUGGCGAGUGGCGGACGGGUGAGGAAUACAUCGGAAUCUACUUUUUCGUGGGCGAUAACGUAGGCAAACUUACGCUAAUACCGCAUACGACCUACGGGUGAAAGCAGGGGAUCUUCGGACCUUUUGCGAUUGAAUGAGCCGAUGUCGGAUUAGUUAGUUGGCGGGGUAAAGGCCCACCAAGGCUACGAUCCGUAGCUGGUCUGUGAGGCUGAUCGCCGACACUAGAACUGAGACACGGUCCAGACGACUACGGGAGGCAGCAGUGGGGAAUAUUAGGCACUAGGGGCAAGCCUGGUACAACCAUACCGCGUAGGUGAAGAAGACCUUCAGGUUGUAAAGCCCUUUUGUUGGGAGAGAAAAGCAGCAGGAUAAUACGCCGCUGUUCUGACGGUACCCGAAGAAUAAGCACCGGCUAACUUCGUG